CAUGUGAAAGCAUAAAUUAGACAGUGUGAUGUUUGCCUGAAGGCAUUUAAUAGUUUUUGUUUUCAAAAUACAGACCAAAAUCAGGAAUACAGACAGAAUUUGUUAACAUUUUUUUGAAGGUAAUACACAUUAAUGCAUGUAUCCCACCCAGCACAAGACGUCAUUUAGACGUUGUUUUUUGGGCUAAAUCACGUCGGCCCGUCAUGACCUUCAUUUAGCCCAAAAAAAGACAUUGAAAACUGGUCUUUGUUUGGUCCGUCUAAUUCAGUCCAAAUUUAGCCUAAAAUUAGACGUCUUUUUCGGACCACUUUUCAACGUGUCUCCAUUCAAUAAUAAUCCUGACAAAUUAUGCAUGAAUGUAUAAAUACUGAGCACAUUGAACGAUAAUGAAACACAUGCUUUGUUUAAAGUCUAUUAAUAUUUCUGUUUAUUUUAAUUAAAUAAAUAUGUUAAAUGUGCUCUAAACAGGUAAUUUCGGUCCUGUACAGCACUGAUAGAAGCACUUCAUUUUCAUCUUUUAACAAAUAUCUUUAUUUUCUUUUAAUAUGAUAUUAUUGGCAGAGGAGCGCGUCCGUUUCAUGCUUUGUGAUCACGUGAUUAUUCAACGGGGAGACGCGCUGGAUUUACCGAGUUUCUCCUCAGACAAGUCUUUCUGUUUUGUGGUCGAUUCUGGGUAAUGUUAGCUCGAGCGCUGUCAGCUUGACUGAGCUCGUCGCGCAGGUGACGAACAGAUCCUUUUCUUGGUGUGUCUUGAUGUUUUCUAUUGGCUAAAGACAAUAAAAGCAUAGAGAUAUAUAAAGCAAAGACAACUAUAAGAUAAUCCUUCAGGAGCCAGUAAAACAUCUACAGUUACAGCAGUAAACAUACUUGUUUUGGGUGCAAAUAAGGAGACUUAGACAUGUCUCUGUGAAACUGACAAUCUCAGGUAGGAACUGCUGGUUUGUGGUUGGCAGUAUGGAUCACGGUCUGCGACUCAUGAGGAGCUGGUCUGGAGACAUGAAGAGGUUGUCAACAGGUGAAGAGGUCUGAAGCUGAUACCUGCCACGGUCUGAUUGGUAUUUCAUGAGGAAUCAUGGGUUCCUUGGUAUUUGAAUUAUGUUGAACCAGGCAAGUACUCCAUCUUUCGAUCAUGUGUUCUGUCUGCUUACACAUUCCUAGCCAGAAUAACAUUUUGUGCUCUUAGCUUAGACUUCUCAGCGUGUGCGCAUAUCUCAGGCCAUCCAUCCAUGAUCAUCUAUCUGAGCUGCUGAAAACUGCCUCGGUACGGAUCUGUUGGAGCUUUGUGUCACUGACUGUAUUUCUGCAAAUUCCUGUUUCGUGUCACAUUGCUUAUGCAAGACUGAAUCCAUAAAGGUGAUGGUCUGUGGAGACUGUGGGCGAUUCCUUCUGCUGUCAUUUAAACAUGAGCAGGAGUAAUGACGGGUUUAAAUGGACGCAACUAAUAUUAUGUCAGAGUCCGCUGCUUAUGCUGUAACCAUAAUGCAUCCAGGACAACACACCUGGAGUGACUGAGAGCAGGAUGAAGAAAGAAUCGGAUGAGAAAAUGUCAACUGGUGCCCAUGAGGAGACAUAUUGUUCUUGGACCUGCUUUUUCUGUUUAGUAAUAAGUGGUUUUAUGUGGUUACAUAAAAGUAAUUUAAUAUUCAAUCCACUGAUUAAGCUAAAUUAAGCUAAAUAAGCUA